CAGACUAGAAUAUCCCUUCUCUUUCCAUGGCUGUGGCUGUUCCUUCUGGAUCUCUCCUUGGCUGAAAGUUCUGGAAAAUCUUCACAGCAGCAGGACAAGUUCAUAAAGACCCCAGACCAAUACAGGACAGCGCAUUUCAACAACAACAACAACAGCAACAAAAAAGAGAUAAAGUCCAGUGAUUAAAAGUCAACUGGAAUAUUAAACAGGGCAACAUGGCUCUACUAUGUUACAACAGAGGCUGCGGGGAUCGAUUUGAUGCAGACAAAAACACUGAUGAUGCCUGUCGGUUUCACCCAGGAGUGCCAAUCUUCCACGACGCCUUAAAGGGCUGGUCGUGCUGUAAAAAGCGGACGACAGAUUUCUCGGAGUUCCUGUCAAUCAAGGGCUGCACCCGCGGACGUCACAGUAAUGAGAAGCCGGAAGAGCCUCUGCGGCCUGAGGUCACGUCUGAGAAAGGAGGCAUGAAGCAGCACGGCACAGCAGAGGAGAUCAUCUACCAGGGGCCCAAAUCUGCAGAGGCUCUGGAAAAAGAAAGACCUAGCUCAGAUGAGCCCAAGACAAAGCUGCAGGUGAAGAUCUCUCCAUCUCUGAUUCAGAUCAUGGAGAAAAUGGAGAUCAGCGAGAGAGAGAAGAGAGAGAAGCUCGAGAGUCAAGCUCUUGUGGUUGGGAUUAAGUGCAAAAACACAGGAUGCAGAAAGUCUUAUGAGGGUCCUGAGACCAAUGCGGAGAUCUGCAUAUAUCAUCCUGGAGCUCCUGUUUUCCAUGAAGGAUACAAAUACUGGAACUGCUGCUGUAUAAAAACCACCGACUUUAACGCCUUCCUGGACCAGAAGGGCUGUACAUCUGGAAAGCAUUGCUGGAUCCCCAAACAGGAUAAAAAGAAGGUGGCCUGUCGACAUGAUUGGCAUCAGACUGGAAGCCAGGUUGUUGUCACGAUCUACGCCAAAAACUGCAAUCCAGAUCAUUCCUAUGUGGAGGCCAACCGCACUGUGUUAACCUGCCACAUUCAGUUCGAAGGCGACAAAGUGUUCCAUAAGGACAUCCACUUAUGGGGGGUGAUUGACGUAAAGAGCAGUUUGGUAAACAUGGUGCCGUCUAAGGUUGAGGUGAGCAUGAGGAAGGCUGAUGCUGUAGCCUGGGGGAAACUGGAGGACCCCAAACACAAACCCGAGCCAGAGCUCACCGACAACAUGAACAGCGCAGAGCAGGAGGAGGUCAAGCCCCAGUGGGACAUUUCAGACGACGACAUCAGCGAGUCUGACUGGGAGGACGAUGAAGAGGAGGAGGAGAAGAAAAAAGAAGAAAAACAGAAGGAAGAGUCCGGGGAUGGACCGCCUGAGCUAGAGCAGCCUGCUGAUGUCAAACAAGAGAAAUGAACAUUUAUACUGCAGUGUCAUGUUUACAAGCACAUAGGGGAUAUAUACAAAGCAGUCAGGCAUGUCAGGUUUUUUUUAAGCAAAUUUUCUCACACAGUUGUAUUUGUGAACAUAUUUUUGUGUUAAAAGUUGGAGAAGUCUUACAAUACCUUUUCUUUUAAUUUUGCAGUUUCAUCAAGAUUUUGAAAAUAAAUUCACUGUUAAGAAGUAGGAGUGAGAAAUUUUUAAGUUCAAGAUGUUUCAUUUUUGAAAGAAUUCUCGCACAGCAAGGCUGCAUUUAUUUAAAGAAACAUUCAAGAAGCAGGAUUAUUUACUGGAACUGGACCGGAAAUAAAAGUAUUCAGGUUACACUUCACUAUGUCUUUUUAGGUAAUCGUGAAGAUUAUAGCUAAGAUAUUUACAAUACAUUUGAUACAUUGUUAAUCUUU